CGAAACCGAUAGCGAACAAGUACCGUGAGGGAAAGUUGAAAAGUACUCUGAAUAGAGAGUUAAAUAGUACGUGAAACCGCUUAGGGGUUAAGCCCGAUGAACCCGAAUAUCUGAUGUGAGAAAUUCAAUACGAUUCAGAUUCAUAUUUUUAUAUUGGAUUUGUAUAGUAUGCACUUUUCUCAUAGUAAGACAUUGUAAUCCAUUGAUAUUAUAUCUCAUAUAUCAUAUAUGAGAUGAUUUAACAUACGGUCAAAAUGUUUAUGAUUAUUCUAUCAGUGAUAUGUUUACAUGUCAUAUGAAUAAAAUCGUUUUGUUUCCUGUUUAAAUAGUCGAUGGAUUUUUCAUUGAAAUCAUGCUUGCAAUUCAUUUUGCGUUUCGUAUCAUUAAUUUUUAAUUUUUG
rnacentral:rRNA from 1 species